rnacentral:rRNA from 1 species
GUAGGGUGCGAGCGUUAAUCGGAAUUACUGGGCGUAAAGUGUGCGCAGGCGGCCUCGCAAGUCGAGUGUGAAAUCCCCGGGCUUAACUUGGGAAUUGCGCUCGAAACUACGGGGCUUGAGUGUGGCAGAGGGGGGUGGAAUUCCACGUGUAGCGGUGAGAUGCGUAGAGAUGUGGAGGAACACCGAUGGCGAAGGCAGCCUCCUGGGCCAACACUGACGCUCAUGCACGAAAGCGUGGGGAGCAAACAGGAUUAGAUACCCUGGUAGUCCACGCCCUAAACGAUGAUGACUAGUUGUUGGAGGAGUUAAAUCCUUUAGUAACGCAGCUAACGCGAGAAGUCAUCCGCCUGGGGAGUACGAUCGCAAGAUUG